CCAGAGCUGGGGCCCAGGUGGCUUGGAGAUGCCUCCUCAGCUCAGCAUUUACCGCGGGGUAGGCAGCUCCAGAUGCCUGGAGCUGAGGGCCUGGCUGCGGGGGUGUGGCAGUGCCACAUGGCUGCCCAAGUAAAGUGCCAUGAGCCGAGUGGUUUAGAAAACAAACCUGUCCUCUCACAGGUCUGCAGGCCAAAAGUCUGAGAUCAAGGCUUGGGCAGGGCCACGCUCCCCAAUGAGACUCCAGAGGAAGAUCCUUCCUGCCUAUUCCAGCUCCUGGUGGCUCCAGGUGUCCCUUGGCUUGUGGCCACAUCGCUCCAACCUCUGUCCCGGCUUCACGCGGCUGUCUCCUCUGCAUGUCUGUCUCCUCCUCUGCUUCUAUGAGGACACUCAUCGCUGGAUUUAGGUCCCACCCAGAUAACCCAGGAUGACCCCACUGCAAGAUCUUUUGAUCAAUUACAUCUGCAAAGACUCCAUUUCCCAACCAAGCCAGAGUCACAGAUUCCCAGGGUCAGCUGUGGCCACCGUUCAGCCUGAAACAUGCCGCGUCACCUCACCCAAGCCUCACAUCGCCCCGUGAGGAAGCCACCGUGGAGGUGAAGUUCAAGUUCUCACCACCUGCCCUGUAUGAUUUCUCCUCCAGGGAACCCUGGGUGUCCACGGAGGGGCCGAUGGCUGUCCCUGGCCCGUCAUGGGGCCCCAGCUCUGACACCUGAGCUUCUGAAUUCACUUGUUUAGUUUUUCAGGAACAUUUUUUCCUUCGGUGCCUUUCCAGGGAGCCCCAGGGGUGGGGGCGUGGAGUUCUCCCCUGGGCCUCCGAGGGGCUUCUGCUGCCUGAGGGGUCCGUCCAAACUGUAGCUCAGAUCCGCCGC
rnacentral:lncRNA from 10 species